AAUGCCAAACAUAUGAGUUUGAAGUUUAUUAAAGCGUGCUCAGAGAUGAGGUGUUUGGGAAUUAACAUGCCACUUUCCAUUUCAAUUUGAACACUGGAUAAUCAAUGUAAGGUACAGACAGACCAUCAAGCUAGGAAAGCCACCCCCAAAUCAGCACAUUUUUGGAACGUCUUGGCCUUUUGUCAUUGAAGCCUGAAGUACGUGUAGUCUGGAGAAAAGUGUAUAUACUACUGGCCACUACCACAUGACCAGGGGGAGCGGGGGCACAAAUGAACUUGCCCAAUAUAGCUUAAGGUGCUACCUUACUUUCAAGGACCAAGGGAUGCCAGCAGCAUAUCACAUGUACAGCCGACACAAGCUGAAUUAAACCAUCCAAAACUCCAGAGACCUGUUUGCAAAUACUGCAAAAGCCCUUCGACAUAAGGCCUCUACUUCACCACUAAUCACCAAAGCUGCCUUGCUGAAUACAGUAAGUCUACAUGAUGACCACUGUCACAGACAAUGGCAGUCCACAGGAGGACUGCCUUUCAGCUAUGCUUUACAACUUGCAAGAGUGGCAAAUCUUUGCAAAAGCACUUUCAUUCAACCCAAUUAUUGCUUAUUUAGAAUCCAACAUCAUGAUUUACCCGAACAAGUGACCCAUUCUCCCUUUCUUGGUUAAAUGGAUGAAGAAAUAAAAAUGCCAUUUUCAUUUGUAAA